ensembl:lncRNA
CUUGAAUUAAAUGAACAUUAAAAUUUUGAAAUAUUAUAGAUGAAAUUGGAUAGGCAUCCUAUGUAUGGAAAAGAAAAAUAAAUGAAAAAAAAAACAAAAAACCACAUUCUUUUGGGAACAGUAGAAUUGAUUAUUAGGUUGUUAGAGAUAUCUCUACUGACCGUUCUUGUUAAGGAACAAGAUGGUAAGUAAAUUCUUAAGAAAGAACACCUGAAGAAGAAUGACUUAAUUGAACAUGCACCUUCCACAUCUGUCAGGAUGAGUUUGUGAUGCUCUUCCAUUUUCCAGUAGCAUCCAGGGAAGGAGGCACAUGGGAAAAGGAAAGUUAAGGUGAUCUGGUCCACACAGGUUGCAUUUCUUCCCCUGCUCAGAAUCUGUGCAAAGUCUCUGGCUCCAGUUCAUCAGUAGCAACAGAGAACUGUUUAACUCAACAAACCUGUCGUGGGAUUUUAUGUUCUUUUGGGCUUUGCAUGAAAGACAAUCCUUGUUUUAGAAAACCACUUCUUUUGUCCUUCAGAAAUCAAUACUAAUUUGAAUAAAUAGUAAGAACUGGUGACACAGGGAAGACAAAAAAAAAAAAAAAAAAGAAACUACCACCACAAAUAAAAGGCUCAGCAGAUGUAAAUCAGCAUGAGUCUAUUGACUUCAGAGGAGCUACACUAGUGUAGACAAACUGAGGUUAUCGACUCCAUUACUGCUGGAGAUGUGACAUUCUCUUUGGGAGGAGUUUUAUCUGUGGCAAUUUAUUUUAUUACCUUUUCCAUGCUUAGCCUGUACUUUCCUGACAUUACUUCAUCAUCUUCUGUGUAAUGAUCAAGCUUUUUCUCUUUUAGAUGCUGAAGUUAAGCACCAUGCCACUUUAACUGUGGUUUGGGCUGGAGAAGAGGCCGUUGGCAUCGUGUAACUCUUCAGUGAUGUUUGUACAUUAAAAGAAAAUCGAAGAAACUAGGACGAUUUGGUUAAAAAAGAAGUGAGAAGCUGCUGUGAACUGGAAUUUUGCGAGCUCAGAAGAUGUUGUGGAUAUUUUCCUCAUUUUCUGCGGAUGAGACUUUUCCACUGAUGGUUCUGCAAAGUUCCAUGCAUGAACACUGUACCAAUAUUAAUGCUCUAAAACUAUUGUAAUAGUGUUGUGUUCUGACACAUUCUAUUGUGUUUAGGAAAAAAGUAUUCGCCCAUUAAAAACCAUCCCACAAACGGCAUUUGAUAAUAUGUAUGAACAAAUAUAAAUAAUACGUAAUGAAACAUCACAUUUACCUGAUGAACAGCAUACAAAGAUGUAUCCUAAUGUCACAUCUAGAUCUAUUUUUGGUGAACUGGAAACAGUGAGGUUGCUCAAAGGGCACAUUUCAGCACUAAAUCAGAAAGUAUUUUAUUGUUUACUGUCUAACAUUACUGAUACUUGCGUGUGCUAGAAGCAUGAAGUGCUUGUAAUGGAGGCAAUAAUAAUAAUAAUAAACAGCUCUACUCCUGAGAUAUUUUCCUAGUUGUUACUUCAGCAGAGGCCAAGAGAGGAGAGAGAAGGAGCAGGAAGAUAAAAGGGAGGGAAAUGCUGUGGAGAGGAAGUAGCUCUGAUUUGUGGGACUUACAGAACUGCCCUAAAAGGAAAGCUCUGAAAAUUUCAAAUGUGAUGCCAAAUUCUUUUCUGGUGCUGUUCCACCACCAUCAGAAAGAGCAUCUGUGUAAUAUUAUGUACCAGGAAAACAGGGAGCUUAUUUUUUCACAGAGAAAAACAUGAAAAGAUCCUAACAUUGCACUAUUAAGCCUUAUUACUUCAGAGCCAUAAUCUGUUUUUUAUAAUGCUUUAAAAGAAAAAGACUACUAUGCAAAUGUCCUGCACAGCAUGGGUAUGUACAGCCAUGGAUGCCACUGCAUGAAAACUGUCCUUCGCAUGCAUCUCCUGGGCCAGCAAAAUGUGGGCAGCGUAUGUUGGAGCUGUGCUCACCAGGAUGGAGCUGUUGCUUCCCAUGGACCUGCACCUCCUGUGGACCUUGGCAGCAGCUUCAUCCCUUAGUCUUGUUAGUAUGACCUCCCUUCCCAGCUCACUUGCUGAUAGGUCACCCCAGAUCCCAGCAAGGAGACUCCAUCCAUCAAAGACUCCCAAGUGUGAAGAUCAUUGAUUGUGAGCUGAAAAUUGAGAAAGGGAUUCAACUGGUAACCUUUGCCUUGAAUAGAUACGUGGUUUGUCAUCAUGCUGUGGGUUGUGCUGUUGGAAGCAGCUAGACAUCACAGAGAUUGAUAAAUGGCAGAUAUGGUGGAAAUAGUUGGUAUCUUGUGUUAUCAAAAAGAUGCAAGAUGUAAAUUAUACUGAACAGAAAUCCUGACAGAAAAAAAUCUGUAUUCCAACUGUGAUUUUGAAGACAUUCAUAUAGAGUUAAUUACAGAAACAGGUCCCUACUUGGAGUGAAUCAGAAAAUCCCUUUACAAAGGAGACAUAGCUUUUCCAGACUUUCUUAAUUUUAAAGAACAAAGAGUUGGGUUUCUCAGGACUUUCCUGAAAGGUUGCAGACAACAAAGUUGCAGUGAAUUACUGUGAAGUCAAAACUGUUGAAUUGCCCACAUGCCUGCCUCAGGCCCUGUAGUUUGCUUCACUUGUUCAUGCUGUUGAAUAAAGACUGCUGCUUGCAAAAUGUACUGUUAUUAACCCUGUUUCUCCCUGUUGUGAACCUUCCU